ACGAACGCUGGCGGCGUGCUUAACACAUGCAAGUCGAACGGAAAGGCCCUGCUUUUGUGGGGUGCUCGAGUGGCGAACGGGUGAGUAACACGUGAGUAACCUGCCCUUGACUUUGGGAUAACUUCAGGAAACUGGGGCUAAUACCGGAUAGGAGCUCCUGCUGCAUGGUGGGGGUUGGAAAGUUUCGGCGGUUGGGGUUGGACUCGCGGCUUAUCAGCUUGUUGGUGGGGUAGCGGCUUACCAAGGCUUUGACGGGUAGCCGGCCUGAGAGGGUGACCGGCCACAUUGGGACUGAGAUACGGCCCAGACUCCUACGGGAGGCAGCAGUGGGGAAUAUUGCACAAUGGGCGGAAGCCUGAUGCAGCAACGCCGCGUGCGGGAUGACGGCCUUCGGGUUGUAAACCGCUUUCGCCUGUGACGAAGCGUGAGUGACGGUAAUGGGUAAAGAAGCACCGGCUAACUACGUG
rnacentral:rRNA from 1 species